GUGUAGUGGGUCCUUUGUUCUCGGGGGUGGCCGCUAUUCAGGAAACGAACACGUGGCGGCGGCCAUUUUAAAAUUCCCGAACAGCGGUGUUUUGCCGCCGAGUGUCUGGAACCCAAAUCGGACACUCGGCUAGGCAAACACCGCUGAGACCUCCAUACGCACGAUACGUUCGCUUCCAAACUACCGAACGGCCCCUCGUUCGGUAGAAAGAAACAACUGAACGAGGGGAUUCAUGCGAACUCUCCCUGAUCUCUGUAACCUUAGCCUUUCGUGUAGUUUGUUCCCUUAUACUGUGACCGACCGCAGGGCCCCAUCGCAUGGAACCCAAUUCGGCUGUUCUCUCCAGCGCGGUCGGUCUUUUAUUACCUCCAUAAAUUUCCCGAACCCCUGGUCCGUUCUGGGUGAUUUUUGGAUAUGUUGCUCACCCAGAU